GACGAUUUUUGGCGGCGUGCCUAACACAUGCAAGUCGAGCGAAUGAAGUUCCUUCGGGAACGGAUUUAGCGGCGGACGGGUGAGUAACACGUGGGCAACCUGCCUCAUAGAGGGGAAUAGCCUUCCGAAAGGGAGAUUAAUACCGCAUAAGAUUGUAGUACCGCAUGGUACAGCAAUUAAAGGAGCAAUCCGCUAUGAGAUGGGCCCGCGGCGCAUUAGCUAGUUGGUGAGGUAACGGCUCACCAAGGCGACGAUGCGUAGCCAACCUGAGAGGGUGAUCGGCCACAUUGGGACUGAGACACGGCCCAGACUCCUACGGGAGGCAGCAGUGGGGAAUAUUGCACAAUGGGGGAAACCCUGAUGCAGCAACGCCGCGUGAGUGAUGACGGCCUUCGGGUUGUAAAGCUCUGUCUUCAGGGACGAUAAUGACGGUACCUGAGGAGGAAGCCACGGCUAACUACGUGCCAGCAGCCGCGGUAAUACGUAGGUGGCGAGCGUUGUCCGGAUUUACUGGGCGUAAAGGGAGCGUAGGCGGAUUUUUAAGUGAGAUGUGAAAUACUCGGGCUUAACCUGAGUGCUGCAUUUCAAACUGGAAGUCUAGAGUGCAGGAGAGGAGAAGGGAAUUCCUAGUGUAGCGGUGAAAUGCGUAGAGAUUAGGAAGAACACCAGUGGCGAAGGCGCUUCUCUGGACUGUAACUGACGCUGAGGCUCGAAAGCGUGGGGAGCAAACAAAAUUAGAUACCCUGGUAGUCCACGCCGUAAACGACCCAUAAAAGGUGUAGGGGUUGUCAUGACCUCUGUGCCGCCGCUAACGCAUUAA
rnacentral:rRNA from 1 species